rnacentral:rRNA from 1 species
GAUGAACCUGCGUCCCAUUAGGUAGUUGGCGGGGUAAUGGCCCACCAAGCCGACGAUGGGUAGCUGGUCUGAGAGGACGAUCAGCCACACUGGAACUGAGACACGGUCCAGACUCCUACGGGAGGCAGCAGUGAGGAAUAUUGCGCAAUGCCCGCAAGGGUGACGCAGCGACGCCGCGUGGAGGAUGAAGGCCCUAUGGGUCGUAAACUCCUUUUGUGAGGGAAUAAUUUGUUGCUACAAGCAGCAUUGAAUGUACCUCAGGAAAAAGCAUCGGCUAACUACGUGCCAGCAGCCGCGGUAAUACGUAGGAUGCUAGCGUUGUCCGGAUUUACUGGGUGUAAAGGGAGCGCAGGCGGGUUGGUAAGUCGGUGGUGAAAUUUUCGGGCUUAACCCGAAAACUGCCAUCGAUACUGCUAAUCUUGAGUGCAGAAGAGGUUGAUGGAAUUCUAGGUGUAGCGGUGAAAUGCGUAGAUAUCUAGAAGAACACCGAUGGCGAAGGCAGUCAACUGGUCUGCUACUGACGCUCAUGCUCGAAAGCGUGGGGAUCAAACAGGAUUAGAU